rnacentral:misc_RNA from 1 species
CAAGAUAUGCCUCACACUUGAGAGUUUCUUUUGUUAAGAUACCAGAAUGUGGUACUCUGGAAUCUUUGAAAGGAAGUUCAUCAGUUGAAGCCGAAGAUCGCCAAGAAUUGAUUGAUUUGGCAUUACACAACUAUUUUGAAGUUGAUAGAUACCUAGCAAGAGGUGAUAUUUUCAACAUCUGCAUAAAUUGGAAUUGCAAUUCAGUUAUUUGCAUUCCUUGCAGCCAAAGGUCACAAAAUAGAAAUAAUAACCUCAUCUACUUCAAGGUUGUGGCUAUGGAGCCAUCCGAUGAAACCAUUCUUCGAGUGAAUCACACUAAAACAGCUUUAGUUCUUGGGGGGGCUGUUCCUUCUGCUCUUCCCCCAGAUCUGUUGAUUGAUGGAGCCAAAGGUUUUUCCCCUUUCCAAGUGGACACAGCAAAAACUUUGGCCUCCAUACUUGCACCACCUUUGUGCCCAUCAGCACUUUCUUCAAAAUUCAGAGUUUCUGUCCUACUAUAUGGUCCAGAAGGAUGUGGAAAGAGGACAGUAGUUAGAUACAUUUCCUGUCGCUUGGGCCUUCAUGUUGUGGAAUUCAGCUGUCAUAAUCUUAUGACAUCCUCUGACAGGAAUACAUCUAUUGCACUCGCUCAAGCUUUCAACACGGCUCAAAGAUAUUCACCCACAAUUCUUCUUCUACACCAUUUUGAUGUCUUCCGAAAUUUGAAUUCGCAAGAUGGUUCACCAAAUGAUCAAGUUGGUCUCACCUCAGAAGUUGCUUCAGUUCUUAGGGAAUUCACUGAACCAGGUGCUGAAGAUGAUUACAAUUACUCCAACGGAAAAUUAAAUGGUGAUCUUAUUGGAUUGGAGGGUGCUGUGAAGGACA